rnacentral:rRNA from 1 species
UACGGAGGAUGCGAGCGUUAUCCGGAUUUAUUGGGUUUAAAGGGUGCGUAGGCGGCCGAGUAAGUCAGCGGUGAAAUUUUGCAGCUUAACUGUAACAGUGCCGUUGAUACUGGGGAGCUAGGAUUUGGUUGCUGUGGGUGGAAUGUGUGGUGUAGCGGUGAAAUGCUUAGAGAUCACACAGAAUAUCGAUUGCGAAGGCAGCUCACAAAGCCAAGAUUGACGCUGAGGCACGAAAGUGUGGGGAGUCAAACAGGA